rnacentral:rRNA from 1 species
AACGAACGCUGGCGGCAGGCCUAACACAUGCAAGUCGAACGCCCCGCAAGGGGAGUGGCAGACGGGUGAGUAACGCGUGGGAACCUUCCCAGUGGUACGGAAUAACUGACCGAAAGGUUGGCUAAUACUGUAUACGCCCGAAAGGGGAAAGAUUUAUCGCCAUUGGAUGGGCCCGCGUCGGAUUAGCUAGUUGGUGAGGUAAUGGCUCACCAAGGCGACGAUCCGUAGCUGGUCUGAGAGGAUGAUCAGCCACACUGGGACUGAGACACGGCCCAGACUCCUACGGGAGGCAGCAGUGGGGAAUAUUGGACAAUGGGCGCAAGCCUGAUCCAGCCAUGCCGCGUGAGUGAUGAAGGUCUUCGGAUUGUAAAACUCUUUCGCCGGGGAAGAUAAUGACGGUACCCGGAGAAGAAGCUCCGGCUAACUUCGUGCCAGCAGCCGCCGUAA